ensembl:lncRNA
GAUAAUGCUGCCUUCUUGUGGUUCUUCGUCAGUGGUUUUAGAAUUCUGCAGACUUCAAAUUAGAGUUAAGUUAACUAAUCCCUACCCCGAUUAAAAUCACACUACCAGCUUUAGGAUUAUGACUGUAUAUGCCAUAGACAAAUAAAGUGGCAUUGUUAACUAUUACAAAUGCAUAUUUCACUGUUUAAAUUAAUAUUGCUUUCACAGGGCUCAUCUCUUAAACACAUGUGGUAAGUCAUGGUGAUUUAAGAUCAGGUUAAUGAACAAGGCGAUUAAUGUAUUUUAAUCAAAGACCUCACUUCAUAUAACUGUAAUGCAUAAUAUGUAAACUUCAUAUAACUAAUGCAUGCAUGUAUCCAUGUGGGAAGUAAAGAUAAAUAGUAAUGGGGAAGGGGGAAGGCCCAUCGACAAAUAGUCAAGAAUGUUUUAUCAGUUCUUUAAUGUACAUACAAAGAUACUUUGCUGAAGUGUGGAUGGCCAACAGUUAAAGAGAUCUUUGAUUGAUUGACAACUCUGGGCUACAGGAUCCUCCAUAACACCUGUAUUCAUUGACUGCCAGCAGAAGCUACCAGGCUCUGCGACACACCCUUGGAAGAACUGAUCCCUGCAGGAUAUCACGAUUACGAAGUUGAGAGCAACGUGAUACAUCCAACCGGUCAUCGAGGCAACAUCCUCACUAGUGUUGGGGGCCAAAUCGAUGGCGACCACGCUGUGCAGUGGAUCGAGCAGAACAGUACCUACCGCCUUCUGUGCCUUCGGUUGAAAGGGUCUCCCGAAGCUGGAAUGGAAGAUGAAUCUCCGAAACCCUCCUCCUCCUUCUCCUCCUCCCUCUCCCUCUCCCUCUCCUUCUCCUUCUCCCUCUCCUUCUACUUCUCCUUCUCCCUCUCCUUCUCCUCCUUCUCCUUCUCCUCCUUCUCCCUCUCCUC